CGGUAAUUCCAGCUCCAAUAGCGUAUAUUAAAGUUGUUGCAGUUAAAAAGCUCGUAGUUGAAGUUGUGUGCGUUGGUAUGGUGCGACGAUUGUCGUGUUGUGCCUGCGUGCAUUUCCUGAAGCAAUUCAGGACUGUUACUUUGAGGAAAUUAGAGUGCUCCAAGCAAGCUUUGCUUUGAAUACUUCAGCAUAGGAUAACGUCAUAAGACUUUGGUUUGUGUUGUUAGUUCUGUGACCAAAGUAAAGGUUAAUAGGAACGGUUGGGGGCAUUCGUAUUCAACAGUUAGAGGUGAAAUUCUUAGAUCUGUUGAAGACGCACUAAUGCGAAAGCAUUUGCCAAGGACGUUUUCAUUAAUCAAGAACGAAAGUUAGGGGAUCGAAGACGAUCAGACACCGUCGUAGUCUUAACCAUAAACUAUGCCGACUAGAGAUUGGAGGUCGUCCAUCUUGACUCUUCCAGCAUCUUAAGAGAAAUCAAAGUUUUCGGGUUCUGGGGGGAGUAUGGUCGCAAGGCUGAAACUUGAAGGAAUUGACGGAAGGGCACCACCAGGAGUGGAGCCUGCGGCUUAAUUUGACUCAACACGGGAAAACUCACCAGGUCCAGACGUAGGCAUGAUUGACAGAUUGAUUGUUCUUUCUUGAUUCUACGGGUGGUGGUGCAUGGCCGUUCUUAGUUGGUGGAGUGAUUUGUCUGGUUAAUUCCGUUAACGAACGAGACCUCAGCCUGCUAAAUAGGGUUCAGCGGUUCGCCGCUGCAAUUCCUUCUUAGAGGGACUUUGGGUAUUAAGCUCAAGGAAGAUUGAGGCAAUAGCAGGCCUGUGAUGCCCUUAGAUGACCUGGGCUGCACGCGCGCUACAAUGGUUCGGAGAGCGAGCGAAUCCUGUCCCGUGAGGGAUGGGUAAUCUUGUGAAUCCGGAUCGUGAUCGGGAUCGAUUCUUGUAAUUAUUAAUCGUGAACGAGGAAUUCCUAGUAAGCACGGGUCAUCAACUCGUGCUGAUUACGUCCCUGCCCUUUGUACACACCGCCCGUCGCUGCCUCCGAUUGGGUGUUGAGGUGAAUUAUUCGGACUGGCAUCUUAGGAUGUUGGGAAGUUUCGUAAACCUUUGCACUUAGAGGAAGCAGAAGUCGUAACAAGGUAACC
rnacentral:rRNA from 1 species